UACGUAGGGUGCGAGCGUUAAUCGGAUUUACUGGGCGUAAAGCGUGCGCAGGCGGCCCGUUAAGACAGGUGUGAAAUCCCUGGGCUCAACCUAGGAAUUGCGCUUGUGACUGGCGGGCUCGAGUACGGUAGAGGGGGGUGGAAUUCCUGGUGUAGCAGUGAAAUGCGUAGAGAUCAGGAGGAACACCGAUGGCGAAGGCAGCCCCCUGGGCAUGUACUGACGCUCAUGCGCGAAAGCGUGGGGAGCAAACAGG
rnacentral:rRNA from 1 species